GGGGUACCGUCACCCCGUAGGCUAUUAACCUCGGAAGCUUCGUCCCCCCUGAAAGCGGUUUACAACCCUAAGGCCGUCUUCCCGCACGCGGCGUUGCUGCGUCAGGCUUUCGCCCAUUGCGCAAGAUUCCCCA
rnacentral:rRNA from 1 species